UGGUGGAAGACACUUUGGCU
rnacentral:misc_RNA from 1 species